CCUACGGGAGGCAGCAGUGGGGAAUAUUGGACAAUGGGGGGAACCCUGAUCCAGCGACGCCGCGUGAGUGAAGAAGUAUUUCGGUAUGUAAAGCUCUAUCAGCAGGGAAGAAAGAAAUGAUGGUACCUGACUAAGAAGCCCCGGCUAACUACGUGCCAGCAGCCGCGGUAAUACGUAGGGGGCAAGCGUUAGCCGGAUUUACUGGGUGUAAAGGCAGCGUAGACGGUUACGCAAGUCUGGAGUGAAAGGCGGGGGCCCAACCCCCGGACUGCUUUGGAAACUGUAUAACUGGAGUGCAGGAGAGGUAAGUGGAAUUCCUAGUGUAGCGGUGAAAUGCGUAGAUAUUAGGAGGAACACCAGUGGCGAAGGCGGCUUACUGGACUGUAACUGACGUUGAGGCUCGAAAGCGUGGGGAGCAAACAGGAUUAGAUACCCUUGUAGUC
rnacentral:rRNA from 1 species